GACGAACGCUGGCGGCGUGCUUAACACAUGCAAGUCGAGCGGUAAGGCCCCUUCGGGGGUACACGAGCGGCGAACGGGUGAGUAACACGUGAGCAAUCUGCCCAUCACAUCGGGAUAACUCCGGGAAACCGAAGCUAAUACCGAAUACGACCACCUCCGGCAUCGGAUGGUGGUGGAAAGUUCCGGCGGUGAUGGAUGAGCUCGCGGCCUAUCAGCUUGUUGGUGGGGUAACGGCCCACCAAGGCUUCGACGGGUAGCCGGCCUGAGAGGGUGACCGGCCACACUGGGACUGAGACACGGCCCAGACUCCUACGGGAGGCAGCAGUGGGGAAUAUUGGACAAUGGGCGAAAGCCUGAUCCAGCAACGCCGCGUGAGGGAUGACGGCCUUCGGGUUGUAAACCUCUUUCAGCAGGGACGAAGCGCAAGUGACGGUACCGGCAGAAGAAGCACCGGCCAACUACGU
rnacentral:rRNA from 1 species